rnacentral:rRNA from 1 species
UACGGAGGGUGCGAGCGUUGUCCGGAAUCACUGGGCGUAAAGGGGCGCGUAGGUGGCGCGACAAGUCAACGGUGAAAGCUCGGCGCUCAACGCCGAGUCGGCCGCGAUACUGUUGGCUUGAGCACUGUAGAGGCUAAUGGAAUUCGGGUGUAGCGGUGGAAUGCGUAGAGAUCCGGAAGAACACCGGUGGCGAAGGCGGUUAGCU